GUACUCACUAAGGCAGCACAUAUACUAAAAUUGGAACAACACAGAGAUUAGCAUGGCCCCUGCACAAGGAUGACAUGCAAAUUCAUGAAGCAUUCCAGAUUUAA